GACGAACGCUGGCGGCGUGCUUAACACAUGCAAGUCGAACGGAAAGGCCCAGCUUGCUGGGUACUCGAGUGGCGAACGGGUGAGUAACACGUGGGUGAUCUGCCCUGCACUCUGGGAUAAGCCUGGGAAACUGGGUCUAAUACCGGAUAUGACCAACUGUCGCAUGGUGGUUGGUGGAAAGCUUUUGCGGUGUGGGAUGGGCCCGCGGCCUAUCAGCUUGUUGGUGGGGUAAUGGCCUACCAAGGCGACGACGGGUAGCCGACCUGAGAGGGUGAUCGGCCACACUGGGACUGAGACACGGCCCAGACUCCUACGGGAGGCAGCAGUGGGGAAUAUUGCACAAUGGGCGCAAGCCUGAUGCAGCGACGCCGCGUGAGGGAUGACGGCCUGGUGUAACGUCUUCUACCACGGACGAAGACGUGAGUGACGGUACC
rnacentral:rRNA from 1 species